rnacentral:rRNA from 1 species
GGGGACAACAUUCCGAAAGGAAUGCUAAUACCGCAUACGCCCUACGGGGGAAAGCAGGGGAUCUUCGGACCUUGCGCUAAUAGAUGAGCCUAAGUCAGAUUAGCUAGUUGGUGGGGUAAAGGCCUACCAAGGCGACGAUCUGUAGCGGGUCUGAGAGGAUGAUCCGCCACACUGGGACUGAGACACGGCCCAGACUCCUACGGGAGGCAGCAGUGGGGAAUAUUGGACAAUGGGCGAAAGCCUGAUCCAGCCAUGCCGCGUGUGUGAAGAAGGCCUUUUGGUUGUAAAGCACUUUAAGCGAGGAGGAGGCUACUGAGAUUAAUACUCUAGGAUAGUGGACGUUACUCGCAGAAUAAGCACCGGCUAACUCUGUGCCAGCAGCCGCGGUAAUACAGAGGGUGCGAGCGUUAAUCGGAUUUACUGGGCGUAAAGCGUGCGUAGGCGGCUUUUUAAGUCGGAUGUGAAAUCCCUGAGCUUAACUUAGGAAUUGCAUUCGAUACUGGGAAGCUAGAGUAUGGGAGAGGAUGGUAGAAUUCCAGGUGUAGCGGUGAAAUGCGUAGAGAUCUGGAGGAAUACCGAUGGCGAAGGCAGCCAUCUGGCCUAAUACUGACGCUGAGGUACGAAAGCAUGGGGAGCAAACAGGAUUAG